AAGAGAUCGGGAUAACACCUGGAAACAGAUGCUAAUACCGGAUAACAACAGAUGAUGCCUAUCAACUGUUUAAAAGAUGGUUCUGCUAUCACUCUUGGAUGGACCUGCGGUGCAUUAGCUAGUUGGUAGGGUAACGGCCUACCAAGGCGAUGAUGCAUAGCCGAGUUGAGAGACUGAUCGGCCACAUUGGGACUGAGACACGGCCCAAACUCCUACGGGAGGCAGCAGCG
rnacentral:rRNA from 1 species